ACACGCCUUGCUCGUAAGACUUCUCACGUGGUCGGUGUAGCAAGUCGGUAAUAUUCGGAUAUAUAAAUAUAAAACAUGUCAAAGUUAAGUAAGCAAGGUCAGAUAAGACAUUCUCAGACCCGACGAGUGGCAUACAAUGUUAUAAGUACAUGGAGAACGAAUGUACAUUUACGAAACAUGCACAGUUAAAAGCUAGCAAUGCCACUGGUUUAUCUCUCUCUUCACUGAGGCGCAUCCGAGCAGCAGUUGUCGAUCGUGAUAAUGGGGAGGGUAGUUUCGUUAUCCCAAGCAAGUCGCGAAAUUGUCUUGUGAUGAAAUCCCAGCUCGAUGAUUUCAACCAGUGCGCAAUUCGCCAGUCUGUGCAAAACUCAUGUGUAGUGCGAAAACAACUUCCAACUCUUAAAGAUUACAUGCAA